rnacentral:lncRNA from 1 species
GCAUAUGGAAGGUCCUAGGCUAAGGGUUGAAUUAGAGCUGCAGCUGCAGGCCUAUACCACAGCCAUGGCAACAAUACCACUGGAUCCGAGCUACAUCUGCAACCUUCACCACGGCUGCAGCAACACCAGAUCUUUAACCCACUGACUGAGGCCAGAGAUCAAUCCAGCAUCCUCACAGACACUAUGUCCAGUUCUUAAGCCUCUGAGCCACAACAGGAACUUUGUGUUUUCUUUAUUUUUUAAAGAUUCAGCUCAAUAACUAUUUUUCUAAGGGAAAAAUAGUAUUUACUCACUACUACAGAAAUGAAGUCUUCCUUAGCACAUUCUUGUGUCUAUUCAACUUUCUACAGGGAAUGCAAUAGUUACUUACACUUGAACCCUUGCUACAGGACAAGAUGUACAUUUUAACUUAUUUAUAUUCAAGGGUGGCAUUCAAAGCAUAUUUGCUGAAUGAAAGGUUGUUUGCUCAAUUGACUGUAAGGCAACUCAGGGUACUUAAAAUGCAGAAAUGGGGAUUAAAAUGUUCCACUGCACCACUAUGUCCCUUUUUCAUUUAAGUAUAGAAAUGAUUUAUCCAUUACUUUGUUAAGAUGUUUAAUCAGUCUAGGACUACCCUCAGCCACCAGCUGUCCUGCCUCACAGAUGAAGAUAAGUUCUGUAAUUAUAUGUACUACUGGGAUUUGAUCUUAAAGUUGCAUUUACUGUCAUAAAACCCCCUCUUUGGGUUUCCAGAUGGACUUCCUCUGUACCAACCCCACAGGCUACACGUCAUUACCCUGUUCUGACUCUAUCUCCUUCCAUUCCUUUGAUCUAGUAAUUAUCCAGCUGUUUUAUCUCUGUUGAGAAAUACCUUAGAACAUUUUACUCCCAUUUCUCAUCCAUGCCUAACAUAAUGCUGUGCAUAUAAUUGGUGCUCAGCCUAUUUUUAUUUAAAAAAUAAAUUAUUCAAGAAUAAGAUUCUUACAACUUUAAAUCAUUCUCUUCUGCCAUAUUCUCUUACAUGAAUGGGUUUUUAUACACAGCAUAAUGAUUGGGAAUACAGGAACUCCCUAUCUUUAAAUCUCACACUUUCUGAAUUUUCUAACCGGAUAACUACACUCAAACGUGUACAAGUGCACUACACUUUUUUUUUUUCAAUUGUAAAAUGGAGAAAUAGCAGGGCAUGAUUUUUAUAGGUUUCCACAAGUUUUAUCUACAUGUAAAAUACGGAUUAAUCAGCUAUUUGUCCUUGGGAUGACUGCCUUACUUCUUACUUAUCUUUGAAUGAAGGUUAUUAAUGCUAAGAUUCAUAGAGACAUGGAGGAUUAAUGGUUGCUUUGGAUUAGGGUGGGAGUAGGGAGGGAGUGACUCUGGGAGUGAGGUUUCUUUUUGGGAUGAUGGAAAUGUUCUAAAAUUAGAUUAUGGUGAUAGUUGCAUCACACUGUAAAUAAACUCAAUGUCAUUAAACUAAACUACACUUUGAAAGUGGGUGAAUUUUAUGGUAUGGAAAUUAUACUUAAAUAAAGCUGUUAAUUAAAAUAAUAAUAAUAAUAAUAAUACCAGGAUUUAAAUCAGGUCUGUCUGAACUCAAAAUAUAUACCUUUAUUCUAUGUUCGCCACCUCUCUCUACAAAAAUGAGAAGUUUAUGUUUUAGUGAUCAUGCUAACUGAUAAAGAGUUUGUGUCUAGAGGGGCACUUCAUAUAGAUGAGAUGAAGGGAUCUUUGCAAUUACAACCCACAUCCAGUUUUCAAAGGAAACAUUUUAGCUGUUUUUGAGAAACUAAAAAAGAAUGUUUUUAAAAAUUUCUAAUAGUAAUUUCAUUUAACAAUUGUCCUCUGUCUAUGGAUAAAAAGAAGCCAUCAAAUUAUACAUAGAUUUAAAAGAUAUUUUUAUUUCCUUGACAAAAAUUGGCUCUUUUCUUCCUUCUUUCUGUCCUUCCUUCCUUCCAUAUGGCUGCUUUUUAAAUUUUUUAUUUCUGAACCAGAGAGGCUGAUUAUAAAUGUCAGAGGUCAAUUCUCUCCAUAAGUCAUGGACAACAUUUUAAAAGAAACAUAAGCCUUAUGAGUUAAGGGGAAAGAUCCAUGAAAUAAAAGAUCAUCUUAAAAGAUCAUCUUACCUUUCCCUUGAAACAUCAAAAUAUUUCUUUGCAUGUUCAAUAUUAUUGAAUGAAAUCUUAUCUACAGAGUGUCAAAUGGGUACACAUUUAUCAAAAGUAUUCACUGUUUUACACCAUGCUUUUGAAAACAUUUUAUCUUUGCUGAGAAAAAUUAAACAAACAGGUAAUUUAAACAGAAGAUGAAAACCUCAGGAGUUUUUGCCAGAAUAGAAUUUCAGAAUGCAUUUAAAACCCUUUUCACUUUUUAAAUUCAGUAUCUAAAUCCAAACUCCUGAAGAAGAUAUUUUCUACAAGGAGAUUAAGGAAAGAGUAAUGACGGGUUUGGCUGCAUAUGUUUGAGAUGAAUGGUAUUUCUUCCCUCUUUGUGAUAAAAGAUCCUACUCCAUUUCCAAAGCGGUGUCUCAGAGCCCCAGAUCUGGGGUUUUAAGCCUGGGUGAUUUUGUGAGUUGCCAGGUGUCAGAGGGGCUCCAUAAGGGUUGUGUUGCCACUGAAGAGGUUAAAUGCAAAAACCUCGAAGGCACUCAAAGAUGAGACUACAGAAAACUUGUUGCCAAGGACAAUUAUAUCCACCAGCUCAGGAGAAUGUGUUUCAGCUGAUCCUCCCUCUUAUUUCGAAAGUUUAAAAAAAAUCCAUAAGAGGCGGGUGGGUAUGUCAAAGAUUUUAAAACCUCAUAUAGGUUGGGUUUAUUUUUGAAUUAUCUUGGCUUCAUUUUUGUGUUUAACAAAGGGGAAAUGGCAACAUGCUCUCAUAUCUCCUUGAGGGUAAUAAUACACCAUCAGCGAGACAUACUGCAGUGAACUUAACCUUUGGAAAAUUUGUGUCUAUGCGUUUAUUUCACAAAAAAGUAGUCUCCACAUUUUAAGAAAAAUCAUAUUUAGAUAUAAUCAUUGUCCCUCUGAUAGUCAUUAAUUACACAAUAUUGUGGACAACAAUUUUGAGUGUGUGGAAUCAGUUUAAAAUACGGUUAACUGGGUUAAUAAACUAAUUUGUCAAUAGAUAUUUAUUGAGCACCAACUCAGAUGAGCACUUUGAAAAAUAUGAGACAUAAAAGAAGGGCAGGAGCCUAGUAAAAUAAGAGUUCAUAGAUGAAUAGGGAGGUGCUGCCCUAGAGUAAGCUUUUAAUGGAACAGGAAUAAAUUUAAAAGUUGAGGCAUAAAAGGAUUCCGAUAAAUUUUAAAGGAGAGUAACGGCAUAGCACAGGUAUGGAGAUAAAUUAGAUUCUGUCUGGCAGGAAUUGGUGCUAAUUUCUCUCACAGACUCAAUGUAUAUCUUCCAGGAAAUAUUUUAUUUUUUUGAUAUUAGCUUGAACGAAAACGAGUCAAAGAAGAGCUCAGAACAAGCACAGCGAAGUUCAGAGUGCUUGUGUAAGUAAAUGUAUACCAAAGAUAUCUAGAGAACUUGUGGUGACGAUUAAUAUUUUAAUUUAAAUGUGGGGAUGAAAGGAUACCAUCAUGUAAGGAGUUGAACAAACCUCAACUGCUUUUACUCUUACCCUGGAAAUGCAGACACACAAUAUGGAACCCUCAGGUCUCUUCCUGAAUUCACUGCUCUUAAGAAGAUUAUUAAAAAUGCAAUGAAAAAUUGUUUCUAGAGAAUUAUUAGAAGUGCCAUGCCUAUAAUAAAGUAGACAUUUCAUGUAAUGUUAACAAGCUAUUGUUUAGCAAGCCGGAGACAGAACAUGGACAAGACUAUACUUUAAAAUACAUGUGAAAUAUUAGUAAAAUUCACUGGGAAACAUUCACUUUAUGCAAAGGAUUUCAGGGUUCCCUCUGUGAUAUAGUUUGCAUUAACAUAGUCAUGUCAAAUGACUACUAUAUUAGGAUAGGCUUCAACAUUCUAUCAAUUCAGGGAGCUCUCUUUGUGGCUCAAUGGUUAACAAACUGACCAGGAACCAUGAGGAUGCGGGUUCAAUCUUUGGUCUUACUCGGUGGACUAAGGAUAUGGCGUUGCUCUGAGCUGUGGUACAGGUCACAGACAUAGCUCAGUUCCCACACUGCUGUGGCUGUGGUGUAAGCUGGCAAUUGUAGCUCCUGUUUGAUCCCUAGCCUGGGAACUUCCACAUGACAGAAGAAAAGAAAAAAAAAAGAAUCAAUUCAAUAGUUCAGCACUGAUAUAUAUCUUCUUCAUCUUCUCCAGUAUUUACUUAAAUAUUGAGGGCCAGAGAUAGUGAGUCUUAUGAGAGAAUGGUAAUCAGAAUUCAGAACAGAAGGAUCUUUAACACCAAAUUUCAUGUUGGCUAUCCACAACCCUUACCAAAACAUCAUUCGUCUAGGUUCAGAACAGGGAAUUUCAGGUUAACCUACUUGUGGAGUACUUUCACAUUGGAAGAUUUGGAACUACUCCCUCCUUUAAUCUACUUUUGAUGACUCCUCCUCACUGAGGACUCCUGGAGGAGGGGGCUGCUUCUACUCUCCAGAGCUGGUCAUUAGAGAUUAGUUAAGAAUCUGCUGGGGCAAUUCCCAAAGACAGUUUUUGUUCCAGUAGCUGUCUCUUCAUGUGUAAACUUCUAACAAGUGUCCUGUGUAUGCUCAGAAAAAGAAAGAAGGAAGGAAGGAAGGAAGGAAGGAAGGAAGGGAGGGAGGGAGGGAGGGAGGGAAGGAAGGAAGGAAAAGGAAAGGAAGGAGAGAGAGAGAGAGAAGGAAGGAAAGAGGGGGAAGGAGAGGGGGAGGGAGGGAGGGAAGCGGGAGGAAGGAAGGAAGGAAGGAAGGGAGGAAGGGGGGAAAGAAAGAAAAAGAAAGUAAGAAAGAGACAAAGAAAGAUGAUUGAGAAAUCAUGCUUGCUAACGCUCACAUACCGUCACCUCUCUGACCUCUAAAAGUUGCAGCAUCAAGAAGUAAUGAGUUAUUGGAGGCAGGAGCAUGACCAAGAAAAUAAAUCUUCAAGGUCUU